GCCGAUGUGGUGGAAUUGGUAGACACGCUAUCUUGAGGGGGUAGUGGCCUACGGCUGUGCCGGUUCGAGUCCGGCCAUCGGCACCA
rnacentral:tRNA from 3 species